UCUCAACUAGGGUUUUUUUGCUUAUAAACUCUAGCUACCCAUUCCUGCCUCUCAUUUCUCAUCGUCUCGUUUCUCGCCGAAUUUCGAACCCAGAAGGAUCACAAGCUCUCCGUCUCAACCGUCAUCAUGAGGGCCAAGUGGAAGAAGAAGAGAAUGAGGAGGUUGAAGAGGAAGCGCCGAAAGAUGAGACAGAGAUCCAAGUGAUUGCAGCACGACCUGUUUCAGUUGGCGUUUUCUGAGCCGGGCUAGGGUUUUGAGUUUAAUCCCGGGCUUAGUUUGUUUGUUAGGGCUAAAGCGACUCUCGUUUUGGUACUCCUUUUUAUUUCAAGAUGAAUGUCUACAUUUUUAAUUGAUAUGGAAUUCGAUUACUUAUGAGUAAAUUCUCUUUCGUAUU